AGUGAACGCUGGCGGUAGGCCUAACACAUGCAAGUCGAACGGCAGCACAGUAAGAGCUUGCUCUUACGGGUGGCGAGUGGCGGACGGGUGAGGAAUACAUCGGAAUCUACUUUUUCGUGGGGGAUAACGUAGGGAAGCUUACGCUAAUACCGCAUACGACCUACGGGUGAAAGCAGGGGUUCUUCGGACCUUGCGCGAUUGAAUGAGCCGAUGUCGGAUUAGCUAGUUGGCGGGGUAAAGGCCCACCAAGGCGACGAUCCGUAGCUGGUCUGAGAGGAUGAUCAGCCACACUGGAACUGAGACACGGUCCAGACUCCUACGGGAGGCAGCAGUGGGGAAUAUUGGACAAUGGGCGCAAGCCUGAUCCAGCAAUACCGCGUGGGUGAAGAAGGCCUUCGGGUUGUAAAGCCCUUUUGUUGGGAAAGAAAAGCAGCAGGUUAAUACCUCGCUGUUCUGACGGUACCCAAAGAAUAAGCACCGGCUAACUUCGUG
rnacentral:rRNA from 1 species